rnacentral:lncRNA from 1 species
AAGCCCAGAGCCAUCUCUGAACAUGGAAGCCAGACAGAAACAGCUCCCACUUGACAAGUCCAGGAGAGAAUUUAGGAAAGCAGUUCUUAGUACAGCGGGACAUAGACUUGGGUAAGGACCAGCGUUCAACAAGGAGUGACUGGAAAAAAGUGUUCAGUGUUUUAAACAUUGCCAAUCGGAGUAACAUGAAGCUGAACUUGUUAUUUUAGCUGAGCUCUACAUAGUUUUCAUCCUGGAAUUGACUACUAUAUAUAGUAGAGUGUUAUUCAUGCACUUGAACUGAUUAUGUGUGUCGGACUGAAAUGUCCCAGUGGUGCCACAAAGGAAAAGAACAUGGUAAUCUUCCGUGGAUUCCGUUUUCCAGAUGCACAGCAGCAGAAGACCCACUGAGAUCAGCCACGGACUAAGGAUCUCACUACGUAGUCCAGCCUGGCCUUGAACUCAUGAUGAUCUUCCUACCUCAGCCUCCCGAGACCUGGGAUUACAUGUGUGUAUCACCACUACCAGCAUCAACCUAUGAAUAUUAAACAAAGUACUUGACUCCUGAGCUUCCACUUUGAUGAUAGUGAUUGGUUGGGAGAUGGGCAUGUGACACAAAACAGGCCAAUCAAAGCCCCUAAAACUCAGUUCUGGUUCUUUUACUGGUGCAAUUAGAAAAGUGGCUCUUUCUUCUGUAGUCGCUCCUUAGGACCCUGGAAGCAUGUAGUUGCCAGGAACUACCGGCAGAGCCUAUGAACAGAACCAACUCUGAAGAAGUUGGGCUGAUGACGGGAUUCUAGCAUUUAAUUCCUAGUUUAAUUCUUGAAUCAACCUAUGCCUGGCAUAUAGGUGUGGGCUUUUCAGUUUACCUUCCUCAACCAAUUCCCAUUUUUGCUUAAAUCAGUCUGGGCUGAAUUUCCCGACCCCUGACUCAGACACAGGCAAAGCCUGUAAAAACUUCCAUUCUUGCUGGGGAUUUAGCUCAGUGGUUUCACCGCCUGCUGCUCAAGCGCAAGGACCCGAGUUCGAUCCCGGUACCAAAAAACAAACAAAUUUCCAUUCUUGAAGGUUAUUUGUUGUUGUUGUUUUUACCCUCAUAUUCACGUUUAUGUUUUGGUGGUACUGGGGAUUGAACCCAAGGCCUUUGCAGUUAGCUACAUCCCCAAACCCCUGGCUUCUUCUUUUGAGAAAGUGUUCCACAAAGUUGCCCAGACUGGGCUCAAGCCCAGCACCCCCCUGACUCAACCCCCCAGAGUGCUGGGACUACAGGCAUGCACCACCGCACCCAGCUGCACAUUUCUUACUUAGAUCCCCUUAGGUGGAGGCAUAUAUCUUUCCAUUUAUUCUAGAAUCUCUUCCUCUCUUCUGUUGUGGGCUAUGCCUCCAUCAUCUGUACAUGUGGUGGCAUGACUGACCCUUGUAGGCCUCUGUGAUUGGAGCCCCUGCUUUGUAUUCAAGUACCAGCACAGCAAGAGGAGAGGGAAAGUCGGAGACCAGAACAAGUAUUUAUUGAUUUCCUCAGAAAGGAGAGCUGAGCACAACCUGGUCGAUCACCUCAGAGACUCAGCAUUAUGAAUUGCUCCUGCAGAGUCAUUUUUAUACAAGACGAGGUAGCCCUGUACCUGGGCGGGACUAAUCUGGGUUGUAGCUUGAAGGACAUGUUCUGCAAAGGUCUCAGCCAAGGAAGGUGCUUGUCCCGGGUAGAACCUCUGGUAGAUUGGGGUUGUACGGGGCUGGUGAAGAAACUGGCAUGAGGAACUGCCAGAAAAGGCCUGGAGAUAGUUUAGAGACCCCAAGCUACUGAUCUUGGGAGUACUUUUUACUUAAUUUCAUUAUGUAUUUCAUGAUUCGAAAGUCAAAACUAAAUAGAAGCUAGGUGCAGUAGGGCAUCCUAGCUACUCAGGAUGCUGAAGCAGGAGGAUCUCAAGUUUGAGACCAGCCUGGGCAACUUGGCAAGAACCUGUCUCAAGCUAGACAUAGUGGCAUUUGCCUAUCAUCCCAGCAUUUAGGAAGCUGAGGCAGGAGGAUCACCGAAAGUUCCAGGCCAGCUACAUGGUAGGUUCAAGGCCAGCCUGAAGUGUAUAGUAAGGCCCUAUUUAAAAUGAAAAAACAAACAAACAAAAAUAAAUAAAAGGGCUAGGGAUGUAGCUCAGUGGUAGAGCCCUUGCCUAGCAGGCUCAAGGCCCUAGAUUCAAUCCCCAGCACAGAAAAAGAAAAUUAAACACAAAAGCAAAAAACUGAAUAGAAAAGUACACACAACCAAGGAUGGGAUCUGUUUGUUUAUUCUUCCAGGGGCUUUAUGCAAAAAUAAGCAGAUGUGAAUAUAUUUCUAUCUUUCCCUUUUGUUACACAAAAGGUAAGUAGGCUUUGCUUUGAUAUAUAUGCAUUUUAUAUCUUCAAAUGUGUUCAUUCAUAGAGUGCCCUUCCUUGAAAUUCUGUGAUUAUUCCUGGUUGCUUUCUGCAUAAUAUUUCCAGUGGCUCAGAACCUUAUUUAGCAUAUUUUACCACUUCUCUGCACUGUUACCCUGGAGACACCUUGGUUUAAUGCUGGAGAAUCCUCUUUCAUCAGCGUUAGAAAAUUCAAAUCAAGGGGCUAAAAUGUGAGUCUGGCUCAAAACUAGAAAAAAGAGAAACAAACAAAUCUAGGAAAUGUAAUCUAAAUGAUAUUCACAGAGACUGUUGUGGGUGUCAGGGAGAUAGCUAUGAAAAUAGAAGAGUUAAAAGGACUCUAAACUUUUAGACCAGAUAGAGAUUAAUAUUGACAGGUACCCAGAAUAACCCAGAAAGGUAUAAUACAUGAUUUUGAAUAGAUGUCAAAUUUAGUCUUCUUGGUUAGGCAAAAAUCUCUAAUCACAAGAUUCUGUUGACCUGCAUGCUUUUAACACACAAUAUCUUCCAAUCCUUUCAACACAGAGAGGUUUAAACAGGGCUUUGAUGAAGGUUGGCAGCCUCAGUACUCAGACCUGGGAACAUGGGGCAGUUUCACUUGAGGAAUGGGAAAGAGAACAUUUUCACACCAAGUCUACACAGUGGAUGUUCUUUUUUUUUUUCUUAAAAAAAUUACAUUCCAUCUUCAAUAAAAGAGAAAUGGCUAAAAAAUGAAUUUCAGGGAAACAAUCGGUUGAAAAUGAAAGGCAAUCAGAGAUACACCUAUCAUUUCACUGCAGGGAGACUUGAUAAUUCUCUCUCUCUCUCUCUCUCUCUCUCUCUCUCUCUCUCUCUCUCUGUUUCUCUUUUGUUUUUUAAGGCAGGGUCUCCCUUUGUAGUUCAGGCUGGCUCUGAACUCACUAUGUAGCCCAGGCUGGUCUCGAACUCUCAGCAAUCCUCCUACCUCAGCCUCCCAAGUGUUGGGAUUACAGGCGUGCGCCACCACACCCAGCUCAACCUAUUCUCUUAAUCCUCCGGCACGGGGAUGGACCAGGCCCAGUGCUGUGCAUGUACUGACGGCCAACUGAGCAAAACCUACCUGCAGGUGUCCCCUUAAUUCUUUGGGGUAUUGUGCAAGGGUUUCUUAACUGUUCGGUAGAGAAAAACUACUUGAGUUACCACUGAGUCUUAUUUUUCUGGUCAAUUUUUAUUUUUUUGUAUUAUAAAACUACAUAUUUAACCUGCCUGGUGAAGGUUCCUCUGGAUUGGGGAGAUUCUACAUGAGUUACAUAAACACAUUUGCAUUUUUAUGGUUUCCUACAGGCCUUCAUUGAAGUAAACAACCUAAGCAUUUUCUUCUUUUAUCGUCUAAGGAAUUAGUAUUUCUUGCUCACUUCUCCUUUUGAUCUUUGAAAUUCUAAUGGGGGAGUUCAAAGAGUCAUGAGUAAAACAUUUUUGAGUCUUUAAAUAAAUAUAUCUACCAUUGGUGUUUUGCCACGCUACAAAUCCCAAGGAAUAAAUGAAAACUCAAAGCAAACAUACUCAAAGAAAAUAAGCCCUCUAAAAAUACAGUACAGUUUCUGAAAAACACAGCCUUAAUAAUUAAAGAUUAAAGUUUCAUCUUUCUGAUGCUGAAAAUGUAAUAUUUUGUUUGUUGUACAGAUGAUGUUGUAAAUGCAUUUGUUUGUUGUAAAUACUAGGAUUUUAGGAAACAGUGAUUGGACAUACACAGUUUUUCAUUUAAAUAGAUGCUUUAUGCUAUUGCCAAAUUUCAAUAAUUUUAUUCUGUGUGCAAUAAAGCAAUCAAAGAACAUACAUUUUGGAGUUAAUGCUUUUAUUCUAGCAAAACACAUUUUCUGAGGGCUAAUUCAGCAUUAAACUUAUUCCAAUCAUAAAUCCGUAGACACAAAAUGUGAUUUAGCUAAUAGGUUUACACUUGUAAAAUAAAUGAAGAUUCAAUUAAAAGCCACUAGGUUAUGCCUAAGCAUCAGUUAAUUUUUGCCUCAGGGCAUACACUAUUUCUAUAUUAAGUAGUCUAAUAGAAGGCACUUUUACUUUCAAGGUUUUAUUUCUUUACUCACACACCAUGUGUGAAAAAUCCAUUCUUGGCACAACCCAUUAUUCAAUGGGACUUGAUUACUUACAUAUGCUUCUGACGGUUACAAAACCUGCAUUGUGUGGUAUGGAGUGGAUUAGGUUGUAGACUGCAAACAACAGGAAAAGAAGUUGGCUCACGACUUGAAUAGAUCGGCAUAUGUAACCGGAGAACAACAGAGAUUCUCCUUGUCUGUGGCUUUUUUAGAAUGUAGUAAACAUCGCUUCUCGGCCUUUUGGCUAAGAGCAAGUGUAGAAUGUAGUAAACAACUGUCAUUCAGGGAUGGGUCACCAACCAAAAAUGGUAACAAAACAAAAAAUCUUAAGGAAGCUAUGUAGAAGAGAAACUAGUAUAUUAGAUGCGUAACCCAAAGAGAAAAAUACAGAAGAUGAUGAAAUCCGCAAGAACAUUUGGAAAACAGGGCCAGGGAUUUAGCUCAGUGGUUUUGCCUCCUGCUGCGCAAGCGCAAGAACAUUUGGAAAUCAAGAAAUCCGACUUUAGCAGGGGCAGUGGCACAUGCCUGCAAUCCCAGCACUCUGGGAGGCUGAGGCAGGAGGUCCACAGGUCCAAGCCCAGGCUGGACAACUUAGCAACUCAUUGAGACCCUGUCUCAAAAUAAAAUAGAAUUGGGGAUGUAGCUCAGAGAAAAAGCCCUGGGUUUAAUACCCAGUAUGUAACUCUCUCUCUCUCUCUCUCUCUCUCUCUCUCUCUCUCUCUCUCUCUCUCUCUGGAAAAGAAAUCUGACUUCAUGUAUACUUAUCUAAUACUUCAGAGCUUUGAUUCUAUUAUGAUGCAGACCUAAAGAUCAGUGGAUUCAAAAACAAGAACAACUGCAUUUACAAUUUUGUUUUUCUUCCCUCCUCACAGCUAACUCCACAGUUACUGAGUUUCCACUUUGUAAUUCUUUGCUCAUCAAAGAUCAUUCUUGGCUCAUCAAGGGCAUUUGAUUCACUCUCACUCAUUACUAAUUUAAUUGACAAUGAUGCUGUUAUAAAUAUCAAAUUAUUCUUCAUGGAAUUAUCUGCUUUCCAAUGACUAAAUGUCACCAUUAAGUUUUAAAUCCACUUCCUUUAUAAAAAUGCCUUUAUGGAAUGAGUCACUUUUCUUUCAGUGUCUCUCAGAACUCUUAUCAGUCAUGAUUUUUAAAAAUAGUAUCAGUACAGAUCUUUUAAGUGUAAAAUUAUUUUAUUGGGUGUUUGAGUCUGAUCCAUCAUGCCCUUGAUCAGGGCUGUUAUUGCUGGUCCUGAGGCUUUAUUUACAAAGUAGUCAAUGAGGGAUUAAAUUUAAUUUAGAGCCAGUUUCUAAUCACUGAUUAUCAUAGUAAUAUAUUUUCUGCUAUGUGCAGUACUUCUAUAUAUUUCCAGAAUGCCAUAGUUUUGCUAUCUACUUUGUAGAAUUUACAACUCUUUUGGUUAUCCGAGGAGUAUUUUUUUAAGCUUUAAAUCAAGAUUAAAUCAGGGCCAGGCAUGGUGGCACAUGCCUGUAAUCCCAGCACUUGGGAGGCUGAGACAGAAAGAUCACUGAGAGUUCGAGGCCAGCCUGGGCUACAUAGUGAGUUCAAGGCCAGCCUGAACUGCAUAGUGAGACCCUGUCUCAAAAAAACAAAUAAUCAUAAUAAUAAGGGCAGGGGAUUUAGCUCAGUGGUUCUGCCUCCUGCCUCGCAAGCAGAAGGACCCAAGUUCGAUCCCCAGUACCAAAAAGAAAAAAUAAUAAUAAAUAAAAAUUACAACAUUCAAAAAGGCAACUCAGUACUGGUUUGUUGAAGAAUUUAGGCUGGCUUAAACAACACAGUGAGAUCCUGUCUCAAAAUAAAAGAUCAAAUCACUUGCCAAGCAUGGUGACUCAAUGCAUGUAAUCCCAGCACUCAUGAAGCUGAGACAGGAGGAUUGCCAUGAAUUCGAGGCUCAACAAACAAAAAUCAAAUCACUUACAUUUAAAAAAAAUACAUUUAUUUUUAAACAAAUAUGUACAUUAUGCCCUCUGGAAAGAGAAGGAAUCACUCAACUAAAUUCAAGGAGAUGUGGCAAUUUCUUUGUCUGCUUUUUUAAUGUUGCUUGCAUAGCUUACUUUAAAAAAAAAAAAAAAGAGGAAAAGGAAAUAUCCAGAAAGGAGCAUUGAGGGAAGAAAGAAAUUCCUGUGAUGUCAAGCUCAUAUUCACGAAUUCUAACAAUCUAACUCAGUGCAUGUGCUGUCUGGUUCAAGUAGCUACAGGUCCCAGAGGAGUAGUAAGUGUACCUGUCACCUCUGGAGAACCCUUGCUACAUGUCACCCACUUCUUCUUCCUGUCCCUACCACUCAAUAAGUGACUUCUGUUUCACAUUAUCUGGAGUGUCUGGGGCCAACUUACAUAAAACAUCGUGGUUCGUAAUGAGAAACAUUUCAAACAUUUUGCCUUCCUAGUUAGCUUCCAGUGAGCAGCCAUGUCUGAAGAGCUGCUAUUUAAAGAGCUCUGUUUUCUUUACAGCCAGUUCUUAACCCUGGGACUAAAGCAUGUUUGGUUAAGGAUACUAAAUUGAGGGCUGGGGAUGUAGCUCAGUGGUUCUGCCACCUGCCUCACAAGUGCAAGGUCCUGAGUUCGAUCCCCAGUACCAAAAAAAAAAAAAUGCAAGAAUACUAAGUUGAGACAGGCUCCUUCAUUUACAAAAAAAGAAAAAAAGAGAGAGUGCAGAACAAGUUCUGCAAUGUUUUUUUAAUAAUUCAAACUGAAAGCAAAUGAAUGUUUCAUUUCUUUAGCCAACCAUGUGUUUCAUUUUAUUUAUUUUUCAAGUUAAUGCCAAGAAAAGUCAGUUCUUUACACAAACUGUUUGGAUGGAGUUCUUAGGAGUAAAGGAAAAUGGAUUAAAUAUUUGUUUUAAGGACAAUGAUAUUAUAGACUCAAGAAGAACAGAGGGCAGAGGAGAAUGGCAAAAUUUAAUCACUCAAACUUGAGGGAAGUAGCCUUGGUUUGAGAUAUUUGUACAGAGAGCUUUAGUAACAUUUACCUUUUAUACUUUCCUUCCCUGCCAACCCCUCAUCCCUCCCAUACCAGCAAUUGAACUCAGAACCUUGAGCUUGCCAGGCAGGCGAGGCACCACUGGGCUAAAUCCUCGACCUGAUACUUUCCUUCUUUGAAACCUGGUACUCUCAAAUCCAACUACUGUGUGUUGGGGGUGCUGGUGUUCAAACUCAGGCCCUCAAGUACACUAAGCAGGUGCUCUACCACUAAGCCAUGCCAGCCUCCAUUUAUUUUUGUCCUCAGCCUUGCACAACUAGGUAUUAAUGUCCCUCUGUAACCUUCCCUCCACUUUCUGGAAUACAUGGCUUCCUAGCUCUUCUGUUGUCUCCUCAUUUUAACCUCUUUUGCUCUUUCUUGCCCUUUGUCCUGAAGAGUACUGUUUAUUUGCUAAGCAGUGUUUACAGGGUGUCUCCAACGUCCCAAGCACACACAUUUGGGGUGGGGGGAGCACAGUACCAGGAACUAAAUCUGACCUACAUCUCCAGUGCUUUUUUAUUUUUUAUUUUGAGUCAAGGUUUUGCUAAGUUCCCCAUUGUUUGAUUUUGAGAUUCUCCUGCCUCAGCCUCCCAGAGCGUCAAGAUUACAGGCAUGCGCCACCACACCCAGCUCCAAGCACACUUCUUAGGACAGUCUCAGGCCUUUCUUUUCAUCUGCCCACUGUGGGCAGCCACUGUACUUACUGUCCGGUCCUGUUAGUUCUUAAUUCCUCUUGUCCUAUCCAGUCCCUCCUCAAAGGAUAAAGCAAGGAAUUCAUAACCAAUGAGAACAAACAAGAAAACCAGCCAAAGAAAAUGCUGUGUUUCUUUUCCCUUUCUUGCGUUUAGGAGGAAACUCAUGAUAUAUCUCCACAUCUGUGUUAUCUCACUUGGUUUAUAGAGUUUGUGAGAGAAAGAGAUUUGAUUUGUGGCUCUGCUUGUAUUGUCUGGGUGAUCUUGGACAAGUUACUUAACCAGAUGCCUUAACCAGAAAUCCUUUCUGGAGCGAGGCAGUAGUGUAAAUAAAUAAAGGACCUUGCCCAGGCUUCAUUUCCUAAUUAUAGAGGAAACAUAGCAUAAAGAUUGAAAGCACAGGCUCUAGACUUAAACAUACUUGGGUAAGAGUCCUGGACUUUCCACUGACUUGAUAUGUGGCCUCAGUUUCCUCAUUUGUGAAACAGAACCAUUAAUAUCAACUUCGUAAGAUUUGAAUGCGAUAAUGUAUAGAAUGAAAGCAUGCACAUGCUCGUGCAUGUGUGUGUGUGUGUGUGUGUGUGUUUUACUGGGGAUUGAACUCAGGUUUUCCUAUUUGUUCACAAUGAGCUACAUCCCCAGCCCUUUUUUCAUUUUGAGACAGGAUCUUCCUAAAUUGCUAAGUUGCCCAAGCUGGGCUUGAACUUGUGAUCCUCCUGCUGCAGCUUCCCAAAGUGCUGAGGUUACAGGCGUAUGCCACUACAGCACACUUAUUAUUAUUGCUGCAUAACAAAUUACUCUAAAACUUGGGGUUAUGACAUAACAACUAUUUUAUUUGCUUGUGAUUUCAUGUGCCAGGAAAUUGGAAAGUGCUCUGAUGGAUAGUGUUCUCUUGGGAUUUCUCAGGUGCCUGCAAUCAGACCUUGGCCGGGCUGCCGCUGCGUGAAGCUGUGGUGGGCUCACUCACAACAGGUGACUGGGAGCCCGAAGGUGACCCCCAGUUGUCACACACCUCUCAUGUGGUGCUGACUUUCCGCAGCGGAAGUGCCCAAGAGAAUGAGAGGGAAGCUGCAGAAGCCCCACACCAUCACUUCCCGUGGUCCAUGGGGACAGCAGUCACAGGUUCAUCCAGAUACAGGGGGGGAGGGGAAAAGUGUCAAAGAGUUUUCCAGGCACAUCUUAAACGCUCCAUAGUCAAGUUGAUAAAUUGUGGUGUACUCAGCAUGUGCUUCACAAAGAUUUUUCAUUUGUUUUCUGUGUUUUGGGGUGUUUUUUUUUUUUUGGUACCGGGGAUCGAACUCGGGUCCUUGAGCUUGAGCAGCAGGCGGGGAAACCACUGAGCUAAAUUCCCGGCCCCAAGAUUUUUCAUUUGACUUUGGAUGUAUUAAUGAUCUACAGAUCACAUUUUAAAACUUCUUUUGGUUUUUGUUGUUGUUGUUGUUGAUUGUUGUUUUGUCUUGUUUUGGAGACAGGUUAUCACUGUGUAGCCCAGGAUGACAUCGAACUCCCAGCGAUCCUCCUGCCCCAGCCCCCAGUGCUGGGAUUACAGGUGUGCACUACUAUGCCCCGCCUAAAAAAUCGCUAAGCCACAGUUAGAUGCCAGGCAGUGGGCGGCUGUGCCUUCAGCGCAUGCGCAUGCGCGUUGUCAGACCCCAGGGCCUCUUCCAUCCUUGUCAAGGAGUGCUGACUUUUCGGCCUUUCACGUCACACCCGAUUGUCUACGUGACAUAGUGUCUGCAUAUUCGAGGGACAUGGAGAAAUGGAGGUGGGAAAGGUGGCAUGGAAAUGUGAAAGCCUCAACUAUCACAGAGGGAAAUCAAUAGGUUAUAUUCAGAAUCAAUCAGCUGGGAAGUUUAUUUAGAAAAUGAUGAUAAAUGUUAGAAGGGAAAGCUAAAAGUUGAGGUGACUGCCUCUGCAAAGUAGAAAUGGGAGGUCUAUAGAGAUCAGGCUAGAGACUGACGGGUUUUUUUGUUUGUUUUUUUGGUACGAGGGAUCGAAUUCAGGACCUUGUGCUUUUGAGGCAGGCAGCAGAACCACUGAGCUAAAUCCCUGGCCUGGGACUGACAGUUUUUCAAAACAGGAAUCUUCAAGCAAUGUUACAUUUUAAUGAUAGUACAUGUAUUACAUGUAUGAAAAUAUAAAUCAAGUGAAAAUAUACAAAUAUAUUGCCCAUGGGGCUGGGGAUUUAGCUCAGUGGUUCUGGCUCCUGCCUUGCAAGUGCAAGAUCCCGAGUUCGAUGCCCGGUACCAAAAAAAAAAAAAAGGAAUAUAUUGCCCAUGCAAUGUGAAUAUAUCUGGGGGAGGAGCUAUAAAGAUUGCAGUCAGAGCUGGGUGGGGUGGCGCACACCUGUAAUCCCAGCACUCUGGGAGGCUGAGGCAGGAGGGUUGCUGUGUGUUUGAGGCCAGCCUGGGCUACAUAGUGAGUUCAAGGCCAGCUUGAACUACAUAGAGAGACCUUGACUCAAAAAGAAAAAAAAAAGAAAGAAAAGAAAAGAAAGAAAGAAAGAAAGAGAAACUAUGUAGUGAGACCAUGUCUCAACAACAACAAAAGGGACCAAUAUAUUUUUUCUACUUUUAGUGCUUUCUCCAUCACAACUGUCAGCUUUCACUUUUGUUCUUUGCAGAUUAUUCAAAAUCACUCCGUGUUGGGGCUGGGGAUUUAGCUCAGUGGCGCCAUCCCUGCCUCACAAGUGCAAGGUCCUGAGUUUGAUCCCCAGUACCCCCCCCCCCAAAAAAAAUCACUCCAUGUUAUAAUCUCAUUUCCCAGCUAUAAACAUGACUUCAAGCUACAUUUUCUGGCCGAACUUGUCAUAUCAGUUACAUCCAUCUCACUGGGACUGCCUAAUCCAGUGUGGAAUGAUGGCUGAGGACUUGGAGCUCUGAAAUCCAGCACACCUGGUCUUAUGCUCGCUGGGCUGGCUGGGGUUGGAUGGCCAUGGGGAGGUUUAUCUCAAUGCCCCAGUUUCUCAUCUGCUCAUGGGGUAGUAAGAGUGCCAAUCUCACAGGUGCAAGGCUCAAAAAAGCUGAUUCUUGUCAGGUGUGGUGGCGCAUGCCUAUGACCCUAGCAUUGGAAAGGCUGAGGCAGGAGGAUUGCUGCAAGUUUGAGAACAGCCUAGGCUCCAUAGUGAGUUCAAGGCUUUUCAAAAAAACAAAACAAAAUGCACUUUUCCAGUUUAUCUUCUCAGAAAUACAACUGUAUGACAUUUUUUUAGCAGAGACAUUCCUGACUAUGCCUGCCUGCUCUUUAAUAACAGCAUGUAUUUGUUUGAAAGACUCUUUGGAAUAAUCACCUCUUAUUUUUUUAUUUUUAAAUUUGGGGGGGGCGGAUUUUUGAGACAGGAUCUCACUAUCUAAUUGAGGCUAGCCUUGAACUCUCUAUGUAGUCCAGGCUGACCUCGAACUCAUGGUGACCCUCCUGCCUCAGCCUCUGAGUGCUGGAAUUACAUGCAUAUGCUACUGUGCAAGGUCAGAAAAACACAUUUACAGGAUGCCUGUGUGAGACUCACUCACAAUAGGCCCUGGAGGUAUAAGAUGAAUAAGGCACAUUCCCUGACUCUGAGAGGCCUAAAACUAGAACAGGAAGGACAUAUAUAAUUUGACAAGUGAUAAAGACAGGAAGCCAGGCAUGGUGGUGCAUGCCUGUGAUCCCAGUAUCUGGGAGGCUGAGGCAGGGGGAUCACCACAAGUUCAAGGACAGCCUGGGUUACAUAACGAGCUCAGGGCCAGCCUGCACUACAUAGCAAGAUCCUGUCUCAAAAACAAACAAAACAAUAAACAAACAAAUACAAUAAAGGUAGGACAAAGAAUUUAAAGAAGGUUGUAGGGGCUGAGGAUGUAGCUCAGGGAUACAGGACUUGCCUAGCAAGGGUGAGGCUCUGGGUUUGAUCCCCAGUCCCGCAAAAGAAAAAUAAAUACAUAAAUAGAUGAAGAUUGUAGACUCUUUCUCCAGUGUCACAAAGGGACAAGGUCCCUCCUCAACAAUGAGCUAAAGACAUGAAAUCUGUCACCACAGUGGCAGGAAUGGGAGAGAUGAGCCAAGCUCAGUGUAGACUGUGCCAAGUAUCUCGAAAGCCCCUCCCAUACUGCGAAGGACACAGGGUAGUGACAGCACCGGGCUGGCAGGGGUGGGGGACAGGGACAGGAAAGUCUGAUAGGUAUCAGAGGAGCAAAGUAGUUGCAAAAUGAAGAAUUAAUGUUAUAAGAAGAGGCCUGGCCUUUGCCUUUGGCUACUGACAGGUGACCUCUAGGUUCCAGGAUGUCUCGCCUGAUAGGGGUGUUUUUGUUUGCCAGGGGCUUUGGCCUCUCUGAGAGUCUAACCUGUGAUUUAUGAUGGAGGCUUUGUGUCACGCCCAUCACUUCUGACCUUCAGAAGGGAUGAGAGAAGAAAAGUCAGCCACGUGGACAAUAGGUGAUCGAACUCCCAUAAAAGUCCUGGACACCAAAGGCCUGCAUGAGCUUCCUUGGUUGGCAAAAUCUGUGGCCAUCAGGACUCCAUAAUUCCAUGGGGAGAGGAUGAUUGCCAUGCCGAGAAUGCUCAGACACCUCCUGACCUCUGCCCUUGCAUCUCUUCCCUUGGCUGCUUUAAUUUGUGUGCUUUGCUUUAAUCACAUGGGAGGGCAGUCAUGGAACCUCUGGAUUAGUAGCCAGCUGUCUGAAGGGAAGGAGGUCCUGGGAACACCAGCUUGCCACUGGUGUCUGAAGUAAAGUUGGUUUUGUGGGGACCUGGGACUGGCCCCCGCAUCUGAAGUAUUAACCACACACCACAGGAGGAAGAAAUGGGAGGGGAGGAUUCCAGCCAGCUGCCUCCUGCCCUCCCUCCCCUCUUCUCGGUGGGGCCCUCCACCAACUGGGGCUGGGCCGAGGGGGCUGUGGAUUCAGCCCAGAUAGUUCGCUGUUCUCAAGGCAUAGAUGGAAGAUAUUUAGCACCUGGGCCCAGAUCCUUGCUCUGUCCCUACCAGCUGUGGUCUUCAGAGUGUCUUGUGAGACCAGUUUCCUCCAGUGAAGGACAGCGCAGGAAGUUUCUUGUGUGGCACUGCCUGCAAGGGAAGGGCUCAGUGGCCUCCAACAGGAGGGAUGGCGCCUCUGCCUCUGCUCCUCCUGGGCUCUAAGGACCCAACCCCGGGGACCCCACUCCCCCCAGUAUUCCAUGCUGACCACUGGGCCCAGCAAUUGUCACUGUGCUGGGAGCCCGACUUGUUUGCUUAACCCUGGGAUCUCCUAGGAAUGGCACUUUGCGGCUAUAAGUAACCAUGGCAACUGGCUGCUGCUACCUGAUAACUAAAGCGAGUUGGUAACAGCCUGAAUAAUGACAGGGAGAAAGGCUGAGAACAAAGGCUUUCAGAAGCCAGGUUAAGCAAAAUCCGUGGUCCAGACUUGGGUUGGAUGUUUCAGUCCCUCAAGAGUUAGCAACCAGCUCUACACUGGGGACCCUCUCUCUUGACCUCACUGCACACAGCAAUUGGCCUCACAGUAAAUAAGAGUCAGGAUCCUUGCCACUCCGCCUGCUGACUUCUAAUGAGCUACGUGGAGCCGGAGCCAUUUGUACUGAGAAGCUCUCAGACAGACCUAGGACUGUAGAGAAAAGGGGUGGGUUGGUAUGCCAGGCAAAAAUACCAUCAAGUGGGUGGUUGCAACAACAGAAAUGUAUGGUCUCAUAGUUUUGCAAGCCAGAAGUUUGAGAUCAAAGGCUCUGCAGCGGGCUGGGGAUGUCGCUAACUGGUAGAGUACUUGCCGAAUGUGUGUGAGAGGCCCUGGGUUCAAUCCCCAGUACCACAAAAACCACGGCAUCCAGAAGGGUGGGUUCUGUCUGAGGGCUGAGAAAAGGCAUCUGUUCCAUACCUGUACCCCAGAGCCCAGUGGUUGCUGGUAAUCUUUGGUGUUCCAUGGUUGGCAGGUAGAAUCACCAGCCUAGUCUCCACCUGCAUUUUCACAUGCUGUUCUCCUGGUUCCAAAUUUCCCUUUUUGAAAAAAAAUUAGUACAUAUUUACAGUACACAAUAAUUGUAUUCAUGGUAGGGAGUUGGUACAUGUACAUAGCACAUCUUAACAAAUGUCCCUUUGUAUAAAAAUAUCAGCCAUGUUGGGCAUAGUGGUGCAUGUCUGUAUUCCUGGCAUUCUGGAAGGCUGAGGCAGGAGGAUCCCAAAUUCAAAUCCAGCCUGGGCUACUUAGUGACUUAGCAAAACCCUGUCUCAAAGUGAAAAAUAAAAAAAGGGGUAGGGACAUAGCUCAAUAUGAGGGUCCUGGGUUCAAUUCCCAGUACACACACACAAAAGAGUCAAAAGGAUUAGGGUCUCCUUAAUGACAGCAUUUUAACUAAUGACAUUUACAACAAACCUGUUUACAAAACAGUCCACAUUUUGGGGUACUGGAGCAUAGGAAUUUAACCUUAGUGGGGGGUGAGGAAGGUCCCCCACCACCAUCCCAAGCUCCCAGGGCACAGAAGGUGAGCUGCGUGGGUGCCCCCAUGGAAAUGAGAAAACCCAUAAACAAGCCUUAAAAACAGACUUCUGGAUCACCUACAGCAACCCCAAAGGGAAACGAGAUGGAACAAUCUGAUACUCAGCCACCUGGACUCUCUGAACUGGCAACAAAAGAGGAUCUGGGAAAAAUGAAAUCAGAAAUAAUUACUCAGAUAACAGCAAAGAAUUUGCUCAUGGUGCAAGACAUGAUUAAUAAAUCUAGAGAGAACACAGAUAAAAAAACAGAGGAUCUGAGGAAUAUGAUGGAAUCCCAACACAGGAAACAAAUGGAAUCCAUAAAACAGAUACAAACAGAUUUCCAAGAGACUAAAAACUCCAUCGAAAGUCUGCGCAGCAGAAUGAACCAAUGUGAAGAUAGAAUUUCAGAUAUAGAAGAUAAGAUUGCAAUUAGUGAGGAGGAAAAGAAAAAUUGCUUUAAAAUUGUAAGGGAACAUGAGAAAUCAAUCCAGCAGCUGCUAGACGAUGCAAAGAAGAAUAACAUAAGACUGAUUGGAGUCAAUGAAGAAAGAAGAGAGAGUGUAGAUGACAUAAAAAAACUUUUCACAGAAGUGAUGGCAGAAAACUUCCCAAGGAGGGGAAAAGAACUUGACAUACAGAUAAGUGAGGCAUAUAGGACUCCAGCUAGCCUCAAUCAAAAAAAUCUACACAUAGGCAUAUAAUAGUUAGGAUUCCAGAAAUCCAACAGAAGAAUAAAAUUCUACAAGCAGUGAGAGAAAAGAAACAAAUCACAUACAAAGGAAAGCCCAUCAGAAUCACAGCAGACUUCUCAAUGCAAACCCUCAAGGCAAGAAGAGCUUGAAGUGAUGUAUUUCAAGCCCUAAAGGAAAACAGCCUCCAACCCAGAUUGAUGUACCCUGCAAAACUAUCUUUCAAAAUUGAUGGAGAAAUAAGAUACUUUCACGAUAAAGAGCACCUCAGGAACUUCAUGAAUACCAAACCGGCACUCCAAAAAAUUUUAGACAAUACCCUAGGAAAAGACAAUGAGGAUCACAACCCCAGGAAACCCAGCAGAAUGAAUCCAUUGGGCGUGACAAAUUAAACCCAAAGGGGGAGAAUCCAACAAAAAGAAAAAGUCAUGACAAGGCUUUUAAAAUUUUUGACUUCAUCUCCCUAAUGAGUGUAUAAUUCAAUCUUAUUAUUGUACUGAUUAGUAUUUUUCUGAUUCUAGAGUUGCACACCAUUCCUUGUGCUAUACUGGCU